AAUAGAUACCCUGGUAGUCCACGCCGUAAACGAUGGAUACUAGCUGUUUGAGCGCAAGUUUGAGUGGCUAAGCGAAAGUGAUAAGUAUCCCACCUGGGGAGUACGGGCGCAAGCCUGAAACUCAAAGGAAUUGACGGGGGCCCGCACAAGCGGUGGAGCAUGUGGUUUAAUUCGAUGAUACGCGAGGAACCUUACCAGGGCUUAAAUGUAGAUUGACGUAUUUGGAAACAGAUAUUUCUUCGGACAAUUUACAAGGUGCUGCAUGGUUGUCGUCAGCUCGUGCCGUGAGGUGUCAGGUUAAGUCCUAUAACGAGCGCAACCCCUGUUGUUAGUUGCCAGCGAGUAAUGUCGGGAACUCUAGCAAGACUGCCAGUGUAAACUGUGAGGAAGGUGGGGAUGACGUCAAAUCAUCACGGCCCUUAGUCCUGGGCCACACACGUGCUACAAUGGCCGGUACAGAGAGCAGCCACUUAGCGAUAAGGAGCGAAUCUAUAAAGCCGGUCACAGUUCGGAUCGGAGU
rnacentral:rRNA from 1 species